UACGUAGGGGGCUAGCGUUGUCCGGAAUCAUUGGGCGUAAAGAGCGUGUAGGCGGCCCGGUAAGUCCGCUGUGAAAGUCGGGGGCUCAACCCUCGAAUGCCGGUGGAUACUGUCGGGCUAGAGUGCGGAAGAGGCGAGUGGAAUCCUGGUGUAGCGGUGAAAUGCGCAGAUAUCAGGAGGAACACCGAUUGCGAAGGCAGCUCGCUGGAACGUUACUGACGCUGAGACGCGAAAGCGUGGGGAGCAAACAGG
rnacentral:rRNA from 1 species